UACAGAGGGUGCGAGCGUUAAUCGGAGUUACUGGGCGUAAAGGGCGCGUAGGCGGUUUUAAGAGUGUGAUGUGAAAGCCCCGGGCUUAACCUGGGAAGCGCAUCGCAAACGAUAAGACUGGAGUGCAGGAGAGGGUGGCGGAAUUUCCGGUGUAGCGGUGAAAUGCGUAGAGAUCGGAAGGAACGUCAAUGGCGAAGGCAGCCACCUGGCCUGACACUGACGCUGAGGCGCGAAAGCGUGGGGAGCGAACAGG
rnacentral:rRNA from 1 species